rnacentral:rRNA from 1 species
GAUGAACGCUGGCGGCGUGCCUAAUACAUGCAAGUCGAGCGAACAGACGAGGAGCUUGCUCCUCUGACGUUAGCGGCGGACGGGUGAGUAACACGUGGAUAACCUACCUAUAAGACUGGGAUAACUUCGGGAAACCGGAGCUAAUACCGGAUAAUAUAUUGAACCGCAUGGUUCAAUAGUGAAAGACGGUUUUGCUGUCACUUAUAGAUGGAUCCGCGCCGCAUUAGCUAGUUGGUAAGGUAACGGCUUACCAAGGCGACGAUGCGUAGCCGACCUGAGAGGGUGAUCGGCCACACUGGAACUGAGAAACGGUCCAGACUCCUACGGGAGGCAGCAGUAGGGAAUCUUCCGCAAUGGGCGAAAGCCUGACGGAGCAAAGCCGCGUGAGUGAUGAAGGUCUUCGGAUCGGAAAACUCUGUUAUUAGGGAAGAACAAAUGUGUAAGUAACUAUGAACGUCUUGACGGUACCUAAUCAGAAAGCCACGGCUAACUACGUG